rnacentral:rRNA from 1 species
CAGCUGUCUCAGGGAUUUAUUUGAAGUUGAUAUUUAGGUGAGAAAGCUUAGAUGAUCUUGGAGGACGAUCAGACCCUAUGGAACUUUACAAAGAUCAGAGGAAGGGAUUUAGAUGUAAGAGCCCUGUUUUCUAGUGUUUGUUUAGUUGGGGCGACAAUGANAGUGGAUCUAUCCCUCAUAAAAUAAAAUCAAAGACUUUUGGAUGAUGAUCCUGAAAGGAGAAUAGGAACAAGCUACCCUAGGGGUAACAGCGUUAUCCCUCUUGAGAGUUCGUAUCGACAGGGGGGUUUGCGACCUCGAUGUUGGAUCAGGGUACCUUCUUGGUGCAGCCGUCUUGAAAGGNAGUCUGUUCGACUGUUAAAUCCCU